CAUUCUUUGGGAUUUGGUUUUGUAUAUUAAUCAACUUUGACUUUGAGUUUUUUUUUUUUAUUUUUUUUUAAUGUAUACGUAGAGCUUUUGAUCCAGCUGCUAUCAAAUUUAGAGGUGUUGAUUCUGAUAUCAACUUUACUGUUGGUGAUUACGAAGAAGAUAUGAAGCAUGUUUUUUUAUAUGAAUGUAGUUUUGGGUUCCUCUUUUCUCCCGAAGCUGAAGCUACCACAUACCAUUGCAGUACUUUGUUUCAUGUACCAUGAUAAUGCAUAUGUAAGCUCUGGGGUUUAUUCUUGCUUUCCUUUUAAAAGAAACAUUUGAUGUUCAUUGGGAUGGAAAGAAGGCUUCUCUCUUUACGCAAUCAUAUCUCACAUAAGCCCUGUCUCAGUAAAAUAGCUUAUGGGCUGCUGUUACUAGACACCACCACCAGUUGAAAGGGUUCAUCAAACAUGAGAUGGAAAGAACGAGAUCACACAUGGGUAAAAUAUGCUUUUUUUUUAUAAAAUAUAAAUUAUAUUAUCAGAAGUAAAUAUUUGUUACAAGCAGGUGCAGAGAGCUUCGUUGGCAAAAAAAAAAGGGAAGCUAAACGUGAAAAUCAGUAUGAGAAGCUUGGAUUAGCUAUAAGUGAACCAGACUGAAAGGAGACUGGCACAUCCUUUGUUGAACCUUUGUGAAGGAUAUUCUGGGGGAGCCUGUCAAUGUGAGAAAAGGUAGUACCAUGAGGUUUAGCAACGCAUGAGUGUAACCUGUUUUUCCUCUCUUUCCAGAGAAGAUAAGAAUAUUCCUUGAGUGACCAGUUUUCUUAGUAACAAACAAGAUCACCCUUCCGUUGGAGAGAAGGGAGCCAGCGAUCAAUUUUCUUUAAAGUUUGUUUAGUUAACAUUAUUGCGUUGAGAAAAGAAGUUAACAUUAUUAAUUCAUAUUAUAUGAAUGAUAUAUUUUAAAUUCA